AUUUAUGUAGUUUAAUAAAACAAUACAUUUUCAAUGUAAAGAUAAAGACAACUUUCAUAAAUU
rnacentral:tRNA from 1 species